GGACCCCUAGACAUCUCCCUCGGGUCCGCGCCCUGCUUCUCAACUCUUAACUCAGGGCCCAAAUUUGGAGUGAGGGAACCCCCUUCACCCCCUACCCGGGCUCUUAAGUGCACAGACUUCAGAACUGCACCCAGCGUCUGUGGGGGGGGGUCCCCAGCUUUCACUGCGCACUCGCCCCGCCCCCGCCCGCGGGCCCGCCCCGCCCCCUCCCACGCACGUCACGUCCGGCCCGGCCCCAGCCCGCCCUGCGCCCUGCGCCCUCCGGCCUCCGCUCUCCUCCGCUUGCUGUUAGGGAGGCUCUGCGCCUCAGUCGCUGCCUCCGUGGCCGCUCCCGCCCCGUCUUCCGCGUCUCCGCCGCCGCCACGGCCGGGGGCAUCCGGGGGUCGCCUACCGGGCUGGCCCCGAGCCACAGUCGUCGCCUCAGCCUCCCGCCAGUGGCCGCCACAGGAAGAGGCUCGCCGGUCGCGGAGUCACUUGGGGCCUCAGUUCUCGCCCUCUUGCAGUCGCCGCAGGUCCUGGAGAAGCGGCCGCGGCCGGGGAACGGGGCGUCGCGGUUCCAAGGAUUAACUGCUGAAGUACUGAUCGAGUUCUGCGUUUCUUCAAUGAGGAACUAUAGGCUGAUCUUCUGCCAUAAUCUCAAACAGCCAUAAAUGACAAAAGAAUGCUUGCUCAGUGAGGGUAGCUGGUGCAGAAACCAUUUUUUAAACUUAGGUGUUUAAGUACUCAAAGGUAAGUUUUCACAAUAGUAAUUAUCCCAUGCUUAUAUAUCCACAGAGAUUUUAGAAUUAAUUUCCUAUUGCUGCUAUUGACUAGUUAACAGGUUUUGUAGUUAUUAGCUGACAUCAGAUGUGUUAAAGAAUGGAUUUUGCUUGUCUGAAACUGUUUACAUUUAUGGCAUUUUGCUGUCCCUAAGUUAAUUUUUACUAUUUAUAUAAGUUUCAUUUGUUCUCCAGUGGGUUUACCUUUUGUACAUAUGGACAUAUACAUAUACAUUUAUUUGUGUAAACUUUUAGAAUAUUGAGCUUUUUUUUCUUUUGCUCUUAUCUUUCUCUUGUAGUGUGAAAGGAAUUGUGUCUCUGGGGUGAUGAAAAAAGCUCAGUUGGUGUCUUUUUGUUCAUUAUCAAUUUUUGAAAAAGGUUUUUCUUUCCUUUAUCCAUAUAAAUUAAUAAAUUUUUAUUUCAUUUUUAUUUUUUAUUCCUUUGGCCAUGCUACAUGGGUUGUGGGAUCUUAGUUUCCGGACCAAGGAUUGAAACCACGCCCUCAGCAAUGAAAGCACAGAGUAGUAACCACUGGACCACCAGGGAAUUCCCAUAAAUGAUUAUUUUAGAAAAUGAAUAUUUAUUGAGAUUAUUUGUUCUUUGAUGAUUCAGAAAUUGGAAACAUUGUUUUUGCCCACUGAUUCUUUAUUGAUCACAAGUCCUACAGAGUUAAGAUGAAUAAUUUAUUUCUUCUGGACUAGACAGACUGUGGAAGUUUUUCUUUUGAAUAAUUAUGAAGCAGCAGGAUUGAUAAAAGAACAUUCUCAUUAAAGGUAGAUGCCUAGAAGAAGAAGUGAAGUCACUCAGUCGUGUCUCACUCUUUGCGAACCCAUGGACUGUAGCCUAUCAGGCUCUUCCGUCCAUGGGAUUUUCCAGGCAAGAGUGCUGGAGUGGAUUGAUAUUUCCUUCUCCAGGGGACCUUCCCAACCCAGGAAUCGAACCCAGGUCUCCCGCAUUGCAGGCAGACGCUUUACUGUCUGAGCCACCAGGAUGCCUAGAGCUGAAGAAUUUCCUUUGUUUAUAAAAACAUGGCUGCUCUGUCAUGUAGAAAUAAGAACUAGUUAAUCUUGUUCUUAUUAGCCUAUCAUUUUAAAAAAAGAUUCUCUCCUGUUAGGUUGCUUAUGAAUUGAGUGGUUAGAUGAGCUUCAUAUACCAGAGUCCAGAAAUGAUUAGGUUUGACCUUUUACUUGUGUCAUUAUUAAGCUUGGUCAGUAAGGUCUUAUUGGUGCAAAAUUUGCCCCUUAAUUUGUCAUUGAGACAUUAAUAUCCGUUGCGAAGUUCAGUGAUCAGUUUUGCCAUUGUUUGAUAAAUAGGCAGUCAUGGCAUGGCAUUAGUAUUGGCUUCCCUGAUGGCUCGGCUGGUAAAGAAUCUACCUGCAGUGCAUAAGAUCCCAGUUUGAUUUCUAGAUUGGAAAGAUCUGCUGGAGAAGGGGUAGGCUACCCUCGCCAGUAUUCUUGGGCUACCCUGGUGACUCACCUGGUAAAGAAGUCUGCCUGCAAUGUGAGAGACCUGGGUUCAUUCCCUAGGUUGGGAGGAUCGCCUGGAGAAGGGAAAGGCUACCCACCCCAGUAUUCUGGCCUGGAGAAUUCCAUGGACUGUAUAGUCCAUGGAAUCGCAACGAGUCAGACACGAGUGAGCAAUGUUCACUAAAGGGAGCAUUCAGAACUGACUUCACAUAGUAGAGAAAAUGUUUAGAUGAUUGUAUUGAGCUUUAAUUGUAGAACACACUUUGGGCCUGGUAACUGGAACAUAUUUAAUAGAUAAGAACACAUUCACGUGUAAAGCCUUCUUCUUUAAUGUAUGUAGUCAUAUUGCCACCAGUUAAUCAUUAUAGUCUUUUUUUU
rnacentral:lncRNA from 1 species